AAAUACUUACACGCUUGAUUAGCUUGAUUAAUAGUUACUAGAUUUUAACCCGCGGUAUAUCGCGGGGACAAUAUUUUUUUUUAAAAGUUAGUAUAUAUAAAAGUUUGUAAAUUGUAUCUAUCUAUUAAAUAUUUUUAUUUUAUAGUUUACAAUUGUUAUUAAGUAACGUCCUGCCAAACCCAUUCCGCCAACCCGUCCUGUAAAAAAACCUAUUUAUUUUAUUAAUGUUGAUCUUAUUUAUGAUAUGUUUAUGAAUUAUUGUCUAAAUAUUUUGUAAUUUUGUAGUAAUUAACUACUAUCAAAUAUCUCUGCGGUUUGAUGCUUAUAAUCGAAUUGUUAAAGUCAUGCAAAAAAACAAUAUCAAAAAUGAUAAUUUUGUCAUUUUUAAAUAUGUUAAAUAUUUUGAAAGUUUUAUUUUACU
rnacentral:sRNA from 1 species